GACGAACGCUGGCGGCGUGCUUAACACAUGCAAGUCGAACGGUGAGGCCCUGCUUUUGUGUGGUGCUCGAGUGGCGAACGGGUGAGUAACACGUGAGUAACCUGCCCUUGACUUUGGGAUAACUGCAGGAAACUGGGUCUAAUACCGGAUAGGAGCUCCUGCUGCAUGUUGGGGGUCGGAAAGGUUCGUCGGUUGGGGAUGGACUCGCGGCUUAUCAGCUUGUUGGUGGGGUAGUGGCUUACCAAGGCUUUGACGGGUAGCCGGCCUGAGAGGGUGACCGGCCACAUUGGGACUGAGAUACGGCCCAGACUCCUACGGGAGGCAGCAGUGGGGAAUAUUGCACAAUGGGCGGAAGCCUGAUGCAGCAACGCCGCGUGCGGGAUGACGGCCUUCGGGUUGUAAACCGCUUUCGGCUGUGACGAAGCGUGAGUGACGGUAAUGGGUAAAGAAGCACCGGCUAACUACGUG
rnacentral:rRNA from 1 species